rnacentral:lncRNA from 1 species
UUUCAGACACAGCCAACCCAGGAGCUUAGACCAGAGGCAGCUGCUGCAGGCAUGGGCCUGGCAGCAGGAAGGCCAGUGGGCGGGCAGACAGGCAGCAAGAGAACACUCGAGAAUUAACCUGCCCAGGGCUGGGUCUCCUCAGAGGAUCACGGACAUCCCUACUCCCGCCUUUUGACGACCGAGACAUGGCUCGGGAGCCCAAGCCUGGUCCUGCCCGGCCGGGCCAGAAGAGGCCCUGGGGCACAGCCAUCUCCUGCUACUACGAUCUGGAUUACGAGCUGUACAGGGAAGAAUUCCCCUACAGGGUGUGUGACUACCAAAGGAUCCCUCCACUAAUCAACCGUGCACCUACCAAGAUCCGGGGGACCCACGUGGGCCCGGGGGUCAAGCACAGCUUUAGUCCCCACAAGGCUCCCAGGACUAGUCAACUGCCUGCAGGGCAGAUAAAGCUCCAGACUGAGGAGCUGCACUCCAUCAGAGGAGAGCUGAGCCAGAUCAAAGCCCAGGUGGAUCACCUGCUGGAGACUGUGGACCGCAUGGACCAGCAGAUGGACCAGCUUCCAGGGACGGAGGACUGCGAACAGAACCAGAGCUCCAGGAGUAAGGGUCCCUCAUACAGAACCGUAGAACCUCAUCAGGAGCCUACAGGCCAGAGGACCCAUCCAGAGGCAGACAGCUCCCCGAUCACAGACCCAGAAGACCCCAAGGAGGCAGUAAAGAAUCACGCAUCAGACCAGGAGGGCAGCCAGUAGAAGGCUGGAACUCCCCCAGUCUCAUCAGCUCCAGGCACUUUCUUCGGCGGUUCCUAUCCCCUGCCUUGAGUAGCACCCACGCUGGAGCAAGCGCAAAGAAGUGGAGGCAUGGCUCAGCCAGUCCAGCUGGGAAGCCUCCCCCCAGUGCUGACUUUAGCUUGAGGAUCAUGUUUCCAGAUGACCAUCUGGGGGCUAGCGGGGAAGGAAGGAGCCCUCCAAGUGCCCAGCACCAGCUCACCAUUCUCAUAAAGUUGAGGCCACUCCUGUUAAGAGGCAGCUGGAAAGGGCCCCCCUGGGAGCACCACCAGCCCUCUGACUACAGGUACCUCCCUAGCUGCUUCUCCCCGCCCCUCGCCAAAGCCUUACCUGUCCUCUCUGGGUCUCAGCAGGAGUAUCACUUUUAUGUUGUUUCUACCUUGUCUCUUGCUGGUGUGAUCUUACAUAUUUCAGAUCUGCUUUGGAAAAAUAUGUCACUGAGGAGAAAUAAAAUUUUCUUUUCCCUGG